rnacentral:rRNA from 1 species
GCACUGCUCAGUACACGUGGAUAACCUACCCUCAGGAGGUGGAUACCCCGGGAAACUGGGGAUAAUACCCCAUAGAUCAGGGACGCUGGAAUGCCCCCUGAUUCAAAGGUCCGCCGCCUGAGGAUGGGUCUGCGGCCAAUUAGGUUGUUGUUGGGGUAACGGCCCAACAAGCCAUUGAUCGGUACGGGUUGUGAGAGCAAGAGCCCGGAGAUGGAUUCUGAGACACGAAUCCAGGCCCUACGGGGCGCAGCAGGCGCGAAAACUUUACAAUGCGAGAAAUCGUGAUAAGGGAACCCCGAGUGCCCGUAAAUUCGGGCUGUCCGCCAGUGUAAAUAACUGGUGAAGAAAGGGCCGGGCAAGACCGGUGCCAGCCGCCGCGGUAAUACCGGCGGCUCGAGUGGUGGCCACUAUUACUGGGCUUAAAGCGUCCGUAGCUGGAUUGUUAAGUCUCUUGGGAAAUCCACCGGCUCAACCGAUGGGCGUUCAGGAGAAACUGGCAAUCUAGGGACCGGGAGAGGUGAGAGGUACUCCAGGGGUAGGAGUGAAAUCCUGUAAUCCUUGGGGGACCACCUGUGGCGAAGGCGUCUCACUAGAACGGCUCCGACAGUGAGGGACGAAAGCUGGGGGAGCAAACCGGAUUAGAUACCCGGGUAGUCCCAGCUGUAAACGAUGCGCGUUAGGUGUAUCGGUGAACACGAGUCAUCGAGGUGCCGAAGGGAAACCGUGAAACGUG